UACGUAGCUUUUUAAAGACCACUCAAUAUACAUAAACUAAAUGUUAAGUGACAAAAAUAUUUUCAAAUUAUAUUUCCUACCAUUUAGGACCUCCUUAAAUUUAACAGCAGGUUAAAGGUUUGGGGUUGGCUUAUUUUUUAAGAAAAUAUACAUUUUGAUUGUUUUGAAAGUUUAUACAUUUAAGGUUUCUACCAAACAGGUAGAUAUAACCAUACUUUCAGCAAGAUUACAUUUUCCUUUUUCUAUUAAGAUUUAAAAUGUUCCAUUAAAUCUGAGUAGCUAGCCAAAACUGAGCUUUCCAGGAGACUUUCUAUACCAGUCUUGCUGGGAGAUAAUUGUUGCUAAUCUAAGUCCAAGGGAUAGUGGGAUGUUUUUCAACACUGGCAAUAAAAACAAAAUAACUCUUUCAAAGAGGGAGAAGCAAGAUUUGGAUUCUAAGAAUUUUCCUUGUGAAAGAAAACUUUGUUUAUAUCUAAUUGGUUGAUUUCACUACUGUAGCAAAGAUACAAGAAAAAAAACUGGGAAAGAUUUUUAAAAACUAGAAAAUUAACAGUCUAUUUCAUGUCGUUUGGGGAAAAAUUAAAUGACAUUAUGUUUGUGAAAAUGUUUUGUGAAUUGCAAAGUUAUAUUAAAAUUAAUUGUUAUA
rnacentral:lncRNA from 1 species